UCUGGUUCUCAGUGUGGCUGGUGUGUGGAAUGUUCACCACUCAGAUAGCCGUCGGCCUGAAACUCUCCAAGUACCUCAUGAAGAUGGACGACUACAUGUACGAAGGCGUCGAAGUCGAGGAGUCCGUAGAAAGUCAGCCGGAUGACAAGUCUUCGGGGUUUAGCGUCAGCUACGCCCCGAGUGGCAUGAAAGCGCCCACUGGCCAGUAUAGAUGGAGG
rnacentral:lncRNA from 1 species